rnacentral:rRNA from 1 species
CCUACGGGUGGCAGCAGUGAGGAAUAUUGGUCAAUGGACGAGAGUCUGAACCAGCCAAGUAGCGUGAAGGAUGACUGCCCUAUGGGUUGUAAACUUCUUUUAUAUGGGAGUAAAAUGUUCCACGUGUGGGAUUUUGUAUGUACCAUAUGAAUAAGCAUCGGCUAACUCCGUGCCAGCAGCCGCGGUAAUACGGAGGAUGCGAGCGUUAUCCGGAUUUAUUGGGUUUAAAGGGAGCGUAGGUGGAUUGUUAAGUCAGUUGUUAAAUUUUGUGGCUCAAACGUAGAAUUGCAGUUGAAACUGGCAGUCUAGAGUACAGUAGAGGUGGGCGGAAUUCGUGGUGUAGCGGUGAAAUGCUUAGAUAUCACGAAGAACUCCGAUUGCGAAGGCAGCUCACUGGACUGCAACUGACACUGAGGCUCGAAAGUGUGGGUAUCAAACAGGAUUAGAUACCCGAGUAGUC